rnacentral:rRNA from 1 species
GAUGAACGCUGGCGGCGUGCCUAAUACAUGCAAGUCGAGCGAACCACUUCGGUGGUGAGCGGCGAACGGGUGAGUAACACGUAGGUGAUCUGCCCAUCAGACGGGGAUAACGAUUGGAAACGAUCGCUAAUACCGGAUAGGACGAAAGUUUAAAGGUGCUUCUGGCACCGCUGAUGGAUGAGCCUGCGGCGCAUUAGCUAGUUGGUAGGGUAAAGGCCUACCAAGGCGACGAUGCGUAGCCGACCUGAGAGGGUGAACGGCCACACUGGGACUGAGACCCGGCCCAGACUCCUACGGGAGGCAGCAGUAGGGAAUCUUCGGCAAUGGGCGAAAGCCUGACCGAGCAACGCCGCGUGAAUGAUGAAGGCCUUCGGGUUGUAAAAUUCUGUUAUAAGGGAAGAACGACUUUAGUAGGAAAUGGCUAGAGUGUGACGGUACCUUAUGAGAAAGCCACGACUAACUACGUGCCAGCAGCCGCGGUAA